rnacentral:rRNA from 1 species
UACGGAGGGUGCAAGCGUUCAUCGGAAUUACUGGGCGUAAAGCGCACGCAGGCGGUCUGUUAAGUCAGAUGUGAAAUCCCCGGGCUCAACCUGGGAACUGCAUUUGAAACUGGCAGGCUUGAGUCUCGUAGAGGGGGGUAGAAUUCCAGGUGUAGCGGUGAAAUGCGUAGAGAUCUGGAGGAAUACCGGUGGCGAAGGCGGCCCCCUGGACGAAGACUGACGCUCAGGUGCGAAAGCGUGGGGAGCAAACAGG